ensembl:snoRNA LOC120098384 small nucleolar RNA SNORA17
CUUAUCCCUAAGUAUUGCAGGUCUGGUUGCUGUGUCACAUGUGCAUCAGAAAGUGGCAGAGAGGAGAGAGGUUAUGUCUACACUCAGUGUUGUGAUCUAUGAACAUCUGAAUGAUUAGAACUCUAAAAUG